rnacentral:rRNA from 1 species
CUGGCUCAGAUUGAACGCUGGCGGCAGGCCUAACACAUGCAAGUCGAGCGGUAGAGAGAAGCUUGCUUCUCUUGAGAGCGGCGGACGGGUGAGUAAUACCUAGGAAUCUGCCUGRUAGUGGGGGAUAACGUUCGGAAACGGACGCUAAUACCGCAUACGUCCUACGGGAGAAAGCAGGGGACCUUCGGGCCUUGCGCUAUCAGAUGAGCCUAGGUCGGAUUAGCUAGUUGGUGAGGUAAUGGCUCACCAAGGCUACGAUCCGUAACUGGUCUGAGAGGAUGAUCAGUCACACUGGAACUGAGACACGGUCCAGACUCCUACGGGAGGCAGCAGUGGGGAAUAUUGGACAAUGGGCGAAAGCCUGAUCCAGCCAUGCCGCGUGUGUGAAGAAGGUCUUCGGAUUGUAAAGCACUUUAAGUUGGGAGGAAGGGCAGUAAAUUAAUACUUUGCUGUUUUGACGUUACCGACAGAAUAAGCACCGGCUAACUCUGUGCCA